GCCCCCGUAGCUCAACUGGAUAGAGCGAUGGCCUUCGAAGCCAUAGGUUGUAGGCUCAAAUCCUACCGGGGGCA
rnacentral:tRNA from 1 species